AGUGAUUCUCCCGCAUCAGCUCCGAAGUUGCUGGGACUACAGUGAUCAAAACCAUAAUGAAAUUUGACAUGUUUCACCUACUGUGCACACCGUGAACUACAGCUUUCCACGCAUGCAACUAGUUUAUACUUUCCCGUCACUUUCCUUUCUCUGCCCAGAAAUGUAUUUUUAAAUACAACAAUCGAUGAAGUCUGUACCCUUGACUGUCCCACUAAAGAGUUCCAGUUUUAACUGCUGCUGACUGUCACAGAGAAGGCAAUCAUGAAAUGAAGAUGACUAUCCUGGAGAAAUGUGUUUGCCAUGGAUUACUUCUGAAAAGGCCAGGCUUUAUGAAAUACGAUUAUAUGCCAGUGUUUAAUAACUUACCUCACUCACAGAACCUUCAGUAAGAUUAGGGACACUUCUGUCUCUUGCCAUAAUCUCCCUUGAAGUCUUUCCUCUGAAAUUCAAAAUAAACUAAAUAUUAACUCAAAA